CAAUCGGUUCUUUUAGGAACCAAUGAAAGAAUUUCAGAAGGAAUUU
rfam:Aedes albopictus isolate Foshan contig124886, whole genome shotgun sequence.